GGUAACAAUUUCAAGUUGCUCGCAUCUGUUAUAUAUCUUAAUGGAAGGCCAAUAAUUGAGCAAAAUUGACUAGAGACAAUGAAGAUGUUAUAGUUCGUCAACCUUCAAUCAAGAUAGCUGUUCUGUGAUAUAGCCUUCAUUGGCUGGUCUACAUAUGUUGGGAAGUCUACACAAACAGUAGCCCUGAAUAUAUUUACAAUAGUAGCGGUAGCUCUCCUUCAACAGUCAAGACCAUAACAUGUAUAUAUUGAAUUUUAUUUGACACGCAAGACAACCGCAACUAUAGACUGUAGUUUCACCUACUAAGUACUGUCUAGCAAAGCCUUAGCGGAUUAGCCCAUUAAAGUCGGCCCAGAUCAGGAGUGUUGAAAGCAAGUAACGGGCUAGCUGGUUCUUAAUGCCAAGUCCAAGCUUAUUUAUGAUAAGGCCUUGCCAGUUGCCAGUAGUCUCAUUGGUGGUUGUGGUGAUUUUCGCCCACAAUGGAGGAGGAGGAGGAGGAGGAGGAGCAGGGAGCAUUGUGAUUUCUUUAAUAAAAUGGUAGUGAUUAUAAUUUGACGUGUUCUUUUACAUAUGUGUUUAGUAUUUGUUACUGGAUCGAUUAUGGCUGAUACGGGAUUGAGGGUCAUUUCAUCAGGCGAACUAACUGUUUGAGAAAAAGCCCCAUUGCAGGAGCGCAAUGCACAAAGUAGAUGCAGGGAGUUAGCCAAUUCAUCUUCAUUUUAUCGCUCAAUAUACUCAGUGGUGACUCAAACAUCCAUGCUAUGGACUCUAUCAGCAAUGACUGUACUUUUAUAACCAAUGAUCGGAUUUACCCUACAUACCUAAUCUACAGUGGUCAAGAAAUUCAAGACUGAGAUUUGGUACAGCAGUUCCAAGAAGUAUUUUUUUUGCAAAUUUUCAGCAAGGAAUUCAAGUGAUUGCUUCCGGUCACUGCUUAUGGACAUGCUCCAUCAUAUCAGUUUGUCACGUUUAGAGGACAAAAGAGAGACAGUUUCUGGAAAAUCUUGCUUUUGUUCUGGAAACUCGACCAGCAAGUUGAAUGUGGCAUUUGUUAUGCUCAUUGUCUUCCCAUUGAUGAUGAGCUUGGUACAAAGCCUGAAAUUGGAACUGACUAUAUUUGUAACAAUAGCAGUUGUAGCAAGGCUUUCCAUAGUAUAUGUCUUGCAGAGUGGUUAGUUCCAUGACAACAACUAGGCAGUACGUUGAAUUUCUUGCACCUUUAUGGCUUUCUAUUUGGUUCAACAUGGCAUAGUUUUCGCCACUUAUAUACAUACUCCACAACAACACGGAGCUACAAUUCCUAUUAUAUGGAUCAAUUGCCAAAACUUGUUUGCAGCCUAUAUGGAUUUUAUUUUUCCACUCACCUCGUUAUAUCAGGCAACGUGAGUUCAGAAGGACUUGCUGGGUUUGUGCCUAGUGUUUACAGUAUAUGUUUGACCGUCCAAACGGUAACCUUGUCAUGAAGAUGGUCGAAUUGUUGCUUUUGCACUGGAUGGGACCUGUCAUUCGAUGACACUACCAUUCUACCACAUCCCGCUUUUGAGAAGUUAAGGAGAGUCUGUUUUUAGGUAUAGAUGUGGGACAUACAUGUAUUUACCAAAUGAUGUUGGACUUGUCUUUCUUUUACCCUAAUUGGAAUCCUCUCCAUGGUACAUGGUAAAAGGGUUAGUAGCAAAUUGUCGGUGGGGGUACAAUAUGGUUUUCUCUGCCAACACAGUCGGUGAUUGCUAUUGUCUAUCAUAACAUUUUUUUUGUUGAAUCUUUUACUUUCAGUACUUCGCAGAAAAUCGUAGUUUUACUGUACUUAUAGGACUACCCUGUCUAAAGCAUGGUUUAAAAUAAAGAUCACCUUGUUUAACAGGGAGAGAGAAUGCCACUUGGCCCAUAGUUUUAUUGUAGUUUAGAUCCUUGUUUACAUGGGAAUGGUAUUAAGUAUUAACAGCUCCUGGCCCUAUUAGACCUUUUCUUUUCUGGAAUGAUUCUUCACUUUCAGUCAUACACAUAAAUACAUAAUUCAUGAUGCUAAAUCAUCUUUGCAUUUGGCUUAAUAAUUACUUAGUCUAAUUCAAAAUAAACUGAUUAGACAGUUGUUAAGUAAACCUUUCUCAUGUGUUUCUGUCCAAUAAACUACUUAGGAUACUUUAUAUGUACUUGUUGAUACAUUGGUUUUUCUUUCGUGCUUGUGUUGCAGCCUUGCAGGUCAUUUAAUGUCCUGUUCGGGAAAUGUCCUUAUUGUUCAGAAUCAGUUGCAGUGAGAAUUGACAAUGCAAUGAAGUAAUUUUCCAACUUUAUUAGAUUCUUAUCAAAGAUGUCCAGAUGAUCUAUGCAAAUACUCUGCUAUGUGCCAUUGAUUGUGCUAUUUGUGUGGUUCUUGAAGCUUUGUCUGGCACCUAUUAUAUCCGUUUUAAAACCUUUCCUGAUCAUGUCAAGAUCAUCCAUCUGAUAUAGGCUCUUACCUUGUUUAUUGUAUUACUAUUUACUACUAUUCUGUUCCAUAAAUUAUGACCUGCUAUCCCACAGUGUGAUUUGUGGUUUUCCAUUCACUAUGUUCCGUCCUUGACCUUAUCCCUUGGCACGUUGAUUUUGAAUUACAUGUUUUUCAUGCUCUGAUUUUGGCAACUUCAUUAUUCAAUAAUAAUACUAGGUUCGAACCAUUUGUGGAGGGGCAGGGAAGC